AUUGAACGCUAGCGGGAUGCUUUACACAUGCAAGUCGAACGGAGUGGCGAACGGGUGAGUAAUGUAUCGGAACGUGCCCAGUAGCGGGGGAUAAAUACGCGAAAGCGUAGCUAAUACCGCAUAAGAUUAGAGCGGCCGAUAUCGGAUUAGCUAGUUGGUGAGGGAAAGGCUCACCAAGGCGACGAUCCGUAGCUGGUUUGAGAGGACGACCAGCCACACUGGGACGGAGACACGGCCCAGACUCCUACGGGAGGCAGCAGUGGGGAAUUUUGGACAAUGGGGGCAACCCUGAUCCAGCCAUCCCGCGUGUGCGAUGAAGGCCUUCGGGUUGUAAAGCACUUUUGGCAGGAAAGCGGUACCUGCAGAAUAAGCACCGGCUAACUACGUGCCAGCAGCCGCGGUAAUAC
rnacentral:rRNA from 1 species